UAAAGAAUCUUCCACAAUGGGCGAAAGCCUGAUGGAGCAAUACCGCGUGAACGAUGAAGGUCGAAAGGUUGUAAAGUUCUUUUCUGAGGGAAGAAUUCUGACGGUACCUCAGGAGUAAGCACCGGCUAACUCCGUGCCAGCAGCCGCGGUAAUACGGAGGGUGCAAGCGUUACCCGGAAUCAUUGGGCGUAAAGCGUCUGCAGGUGGUUUGUUAAGUUGAAUAUUAAAUCUUGAAGCCCAACUUCAAGUCUGUAUUCAAAACUGGCGUACUAGAGAGUUCCAGAGGCACGUGGAAUUUUGUGUGUAGGGGUAAAAUCCGUAGAUACACAGAAGAACACCAAAAGCGAAGGCAACGUGCUGGGAAUUUCUGACACUCAUAGACGAAAGCGUGGGGAGCGAACGGG
rnacentral:rRNA from 1 species